rnacentral:rRNA from 1 species
GACGAACGCUGGCGGCGUGCUUAACACAUGCAAGUCGAACGGAAAGGCCCUGCUUUUGUGGGGUGCUCGAGUGGCGAACGGGUGAGUAACACGUGAGUAACCUGCCCUUGACUUUGGGAUAACUUCAAGAAACUGGGGCUAAUACCGGAUAGGAGCUCCUGCUGCAUGGUGGGGGUUGGAAAGUUUCGGCGGUUGGGAUGGACUCGCGGCUUAUCAGCUUGUUGGUGGGGUAGUGGCUUACCAAGGCUUUGACGGGUAGCCGGCCUGAGAGGGUGACCGGCCACAUUGGGACUGAGAUGCGGCCCAGACUCCUACGGGAGGCAGCAGUGGGGAAUAUUGCACAAUGGGCGGAAGCCUGAUGCAGCAACGCCGCGUGCGGGAUGACGGCCUUCGGGUUGUAAACCGCUUUCGCCUGUGACGAAGCGUGAGUGACGGUAAUGGGUAAAGAAGCACCGGCUAACUACGUG